rnacentral:tRNA from 1 species
GCUCCGUUCGUCUAACGGUUAGGACAUUAGGUUUUCAUCCUAAAAAUAGGAGUUCGAUUCUCCUACGGAGUA